UGGCUGUCGUCAGCUCGUGCCGUGAGGUGUUGGGUUCAGUCCCGCAACGAGCGCAACCCUCGCCCUUUGUUGCCAUCGGGUAAAGCCGGGCACUCUAAGGGGGACNGCCAGCGACAAGUUGGAGGAAGGAGAGGAUGACGUCAAGUCAUCAUGGCCUUUAUGCCUAGGGGCCACACACGUGACAACAAUGGCCGGUACAGACGGAGGCAAUGCCGAGAGGCGGAGCAAACCCGAGAAAACCGGUCCCAGUUCGGAUUGAGGUCUGCAACUCGACCUCAUGAAGUCGGAAUCGCUAGUAAUCGCAUAUCAGAACGAUGCGGUGAAUACGUUCCCGGGCCUUGUACACACCGCCCGUCACACCACGAAAGUUUGUUGUACCCGAAGUCGG
rnacentral:rRNA from 1 species